UACGUAGGUGGCAGGCGUUAUCCGGAAUUACUGGGCGUAAAGCGCACGCAGGUGGCUUUCUAAGAUUGACGUGAAAGCUUCUGGCAUAACUGGAAGAGGUCGUUGAAGACUGGAUGGCUUGAGACGAGGAGAGGGGUGCAGAAUUCCCGGUGUAGUGGUGGAAUGCGUAGAUAUCGGGAGGAAUACCAGUGGCGAAAGCGGCACCCUGGCCUUAGUCUGACGCUCCGGGGCGAAAGUGUGGGGAGCAAACGGG
rnacentral:rRNA from 1 species